CGAGUUUGAUCAUGGCUCAGAUUGAACGCUGGCGGCAUGCUUUACACAUGCAAGUCGAACGGUAACAGGCCUUCGGGUGCUGACGAGUGGCGAACGGGUGAGUAAUGCAUCGGAACGUGCCCAAUCGGUGGGGGAUAACGUAGCGAAAGUUACGCUAAUACCGCAUAAGCCCUGAGGGGGAAAGUGGGGGACCGCAAGGCCUCACGCGAAUGGAGCGGCCGAUGUCAGAUUAGCUAGUUGGUGGGGUAAAGGCUCACCAAGGCGACGAUCUGUAGCGGGUCUGAGAGGAUGAUCCGCCACACUGGGACUGAGACACGGCCCAGACUCCUACGGGAGGCAGCAGUGGGGAAUUUUGGACAAUGGGCGCAAGCCUGAUCCAGCCAUGCCGCGUGAGUGAAGAAGGCCUUCGGGUUGUAAAGCUCUUUCGGCCGGGAAGAAAUCGCACAGGUUAAUACCCUGUGUGGAUGACGGUACCGGAAUAAGAAGCACCGGCUAACUACGUG
rnacentral:rRNA from 1 species